UACAGAGGGUGCAAGCGUUGCUCGGAAUCACUGGGCGUAAAGGGCGUGUAGGCGGGAAUGUAAGUCGGGCGUGAAAUCCCUGGGCUCAACCCAGGAACUGCAUUUGAAACUCCCUUUCUUGAGUGUCGGAGAGGAAAGCGGAAUUCCUGGUGUAGAGGUGAAAUUCGUAGAUAUCAGGAGGAACACCGGUGGCGAAGGCGGCUUUCUGGACGACAACUGACGCUGAGACGCGAAAGCGUGGGGAGCAAACAGG
rnacentral:rRNA from 1 species